CCUACGGGGCGCAGCAGUCGAGAAUCAUUCACAAUGGGGGAAACCCUGAUGGUGCGACGCCGCGUGGGGGAAUGAAGGUCUUCGGAUUGUAAACCCCUGUCAUGUGGGAGCAAAUUAAAAAGAUAGUACCACAAGAGGAAGAGACGGCUAACUCUGUGCCAGCAGCCGCGGUAAUACAGAGGUCUCAAGCGUUGUUCGGAAUCACUGGGCGUAAAGCGUGCGUAGGCUGUUUCGUAAGUCGUGUGUGAAAGGCGCGGGCUCAACCCGCGGACGGCACAUGAUACUGCGAGACUAGAGUAAGGGAGGGGGAACCGGAAUUCUCGGUGUAGCAGUGAAAUGCGUAGAUAUCGAGAGGAACACUCGUGGCGAAGGCGGGUUCCUGGACAUUAACUGACGCUGAGGCACGAGGGCCAGGGGAGCGAAAGGGAUUAGAUACCCGGGUAGUC
rnacentral:rRNA from 1 species